rnacentral:rRNA from 1 species
UACGUAGGGUGCAAGCGUUUAAUCGGAAUUACUGGGCGUAAAGCGUGCGCAGGCGGUUAUGUAAGACAGAUGUGAAAUGCCCGGGCUCAACCUGGGAACUGCAUCCGAGACUGCAUUGCUAGAGUAUGGGAGAGGAAAGCGGAAUUUCUGGUGUAGCAGUGAAAUGCGUAGAUAUCAGAAGGAACAUCAGUGGCGAAGGCGCUUUCUGGACCAAUACUGACGAUCAGGUGCGAAAGCGUGGGGAGCAAACAGG